CUCUACCACCAUACCACCACGAAUGUACCUGACCUCUUCUGAUCUUAGAAGCUAAGCACAAACGUGCCGGUUAAUUCUUCAAUGGAGGCCAUCUGGGAAUACCAGUGUUACAGGCU
rnacentral:rRNA from 14 species